AAUUAAUACCGUUUCUUCUUGACUUUUGUAAGAGAAAUGAUUUAGUUUCAUAUUGGUUUAUCCACUAUUUUAUUCAAUAUGUACACUUAUUACACUUGAAUAAAGUCUUGAUUCGUGAUUUAUUUGCAGGAAUUGAUAAAUAUUUUGUAUUGUCCUUGCUUUAUUGAUUCUCCGGAAUCAUAUCUUGCACCGCAUCACUUGAAUUAUCAACAGCAAUCCGAUUUGAUUGCCGAUAUCAAGAAACCUGCCAUUUCUAGGUCCUCGACUUCCGCAUUUUGUUCAUUACUUCCCCUAUUUAUGGACACAUCUAGGCUAAUUUUUGCACCACGGUCAACUUGUCGGCAUUUCGGUUUAUGUUUGCUCUUCUACAUUUUUUAUGUGCACAAAAGCAAACGAUACUGCAACUGACAAUGAGAAAAAUGCCAGCUCUAAACGAUACAAAAAUGAAAAUGGUUUUUUUUCGUUCAUUACAUCCACAAAAUAAAAAAAU
rnacentral:lncRNA from 1 species